GCGCUCGCUUCGGCAGCACGUAUACUAAAAUUGGAAUGAUACAGAGAAGAUUAGCAUGGCCCCUGCACAAGGAUGACACGCAAAUUCGUGAAGCGUUCCGUAUUUUU
rnacentral:snRNA from 1 species